CUACGAACUGUGCAAACGUUAUUCGGAAUCACUGGGCUUAAAGGGUGCGUAGGCGGGUUUGAAGGUCUGAUGUGAAAGCCCACGGCUCAACCGUGGAAUUGCGUUGGAAACCACAAGCCUUGAGGGAGUCAGAGGUGAGCGGAACUAAUGGUGGAGCGGUGAAAUGCGUUGAUAUCAUUAGGAACACCGGUGGCGAAAGCGGCUCACUGGGACUCUUCUGACGCUGAGGCACGAAAGCUAGGGGAGCGAACGGGAUUAGAAACCCUAGUAGUCC
rnacentral:rRNA from 1 species